rnacentral:miRNA from 14 species
AGUCAGUAAAUGCAGAUUCGUGGGUCCUAUCCCAGACCUACAGAGACAGUGUCUGGGGUGGAGCCCGGGAAUCUGCAUUUU